CUUCCAGAGCUACUGUUAGGUCAAAGGACCAGAGGCACCACAGGAGUCAUGGGCCCCCUGGGAGAGGGCUGGAGGCCACUGGCAGAGGACCACCCUUCCUCUGCAUAAAGCAAACUUUCGAUAAAUGCCUAACAGAUAGGAACCAGCUGACCGAUGGGGAAUUCGCACCAUUUGGGAAACCAGAGCCAUCAGCAUGAAUCCCUUAAAUCUGUCCUUCGGCUUUUAUGAUGUGGUUGGUGACAUGAAGACACAGUAAAAAUAUUCUAACACUUCAGCUUCUACAUUCUUUGAAAACCUUUUUCUCCCUGCUUUAGUCUUGCUCUAAGCUAUGACACCAGGAAAAUCUCCAAGGAGGCCUCUAUCAGUGUAUCCCUACCUAUGUGAUUGGCCACAACUACUUAGAAAUGAAUGAGGGGGGUCCCGGUUUUGAAAAGAGUCAUAGGUCACUUUAAAAAUACAUACCUAGGUGAAAUUUAAAACUUUUCUCCAAUAAACAUGGAUCACAUAAA